AAGUCACGUGAGAACCUGGGGACGCUAGGUUCCGGAACCUGACCUGAGCUGGGGCCUGUGCUUCCAGCGGGUGGUGGGGGGCCUGGUGUGCUGGCAUCAAGUAAGCGGACUACCUCGGCAAAGGCUUAGGGACAAGAGACUGGCAGCCUGAACUGGCUGGGGCAUCCGGAAGGCUUAGAUCUUGUGGCCAAGGGUUCAGACCGUGGCGAAGUGGAGAGUGACAUGCAGUUGGAUGGCGGUGACUGCGUGGGCAGCUGAAGGAGAUGUUGAAGACAUCCUGCUUUCAAUAAGCCAACUGGAUCCUCCUGUGGUUUGUUCACUUUCUGUCUGAGGCUCCAACUGUCCCUUUGAGAUUGUAUUGGCACAGUCUCCAUAUAUCAUAUCUCAGGCUCAGUAAAUUGAAUAAAAAUAUUUCAUUGGUUGACUUGUAGGAAUAAGCAAUAUAUCCCUGAGUUAUCAGAAAAUACUUGCAGUUGAAAUUGGAAGAGAUUGAUAUUUUAUAGAAAACAUUGUUUACUGUCUCUCUGGGCACUAGGAAACAUCAUCUCUUAAAAAGGAUAGUUUGCCCCUGUCUAAAACUGUUGUUUUGUUUUCCCCUGUGACUAAUUUCUUGAGGUCAUUUUAGAAGGCCUGAUCAUUAUAAUUGUUAAUGAAAUGUUUAAAAUUUAUAUGUAAUUGUGUAUUGGUAAGAGUUAAAUAUACAUAUAGAGUGCCAAUUUUUGCUAAGAAGCUUUUUUUCAGAUUACCCAGUAACAGCAGAUGUUAGGCAUGCUUGCCUGUAGGUAAAAUAGGGAUGUUUUAAAGUACUUGGAUUUACUGUUAGCAUGAGCACUGAAAAUAUGUAAAAGUGGUUGGCUCCCUGCUUCUCUGGAUCCACGUCUCUUCCUAAAUGAUAAAAUGUAAGCUGCCACUGUGCUUCAGUUAAAAUUGGGGCAGUCACUUUAACAGAGCCUUGUGUCCUGAUUGCAGUGGUGUGUGACUGCUGUACUCCAGCUGUGGGGGCCCUUGCCCUCUCAUGCAGGGAAAAAGAUGACCCAGGGGCUAGAGGUUCUGGAUACACAUUCUCCUUGUUCUCUACCUACUGUGCCAACAUUUAGGAUUAAAAGUGUGUGUUGGUGUGUUUCCUUCUGAAAUUCUCUAUCUCUUUUUUGGGAGUCUGGAACUUAGGGAUGGCGAGUGUUAGCAAAUUAGAGUGUAUUUGCUUUUGUUCACUCAAGAUUUAAUACAGAGGAAAGUUAAUCUUCAUACAGUUUGUUUUCACAUAACUCUAAAUGGAUUCCUUUGAGCUAGAAUUGGCAGCUUUUUCCUGAUAUGUAAUGGAAGCAUAUGCACCUUAAAGAGGCUUUAUAAAGGAAUCAGAUGAUAUGAGGAAGAUUCCCAUUAAACAAGAUGAAAUUUGACCAUACAUCCUUGGUAGUAUUUCAUGAGGCAGAAAUAAAAUAUUGUUGAGAAGAGACCAAUGUAGUAGCAUAACAUCUUUUACAGAGUAAACUUUUUAGGUUAUUAUUGUAAGCACUCUUACUAAGUGAGAGUAAUGCAGACUUAAGAACGUUUCCCUUAUUACUCUUAAUUAAAGCCUAGUGACAGCACUAAGGCUAAUGGCAAACAAAGCAAAAAUACCUAGUAUUGCAAUGUAUUUUUUCCUAUCCUUUCUUCUCUUCAUUCCAUCAUUCUGAGUUACAUGGAUCUUAUGGAAUAACAUGAUGGAGUAAUGAAGGUCAUUAUGGGAGCCACGAUUUAUUGCUUAAAUCAACUUAGAGCAGAAUCAUUGCAGGAUUUGCCAAUGUCAAUAUCCAUGUCUUUAGUUACCAUAUAUUAAGUUACAAUAUCAGUGUCUUUAAUUAUUUCAGGUAUGGAAGAAAAUUCAGCUGAAAUUUGCUAGAAAAUGAGUUGUAUUGGAAAGAGACUGUAGAGACAGGCAAAUGGAAGAAGAAAGCUUCUGUGCCCCCACAGAUACCGACUGAAAAGUGUUAGCAUGAGCAAAAGUUCCUAUCUAAUAUUAUAUGCUUUCCUUUGCUCCCACGUAAGGUCCUGCUGUUUUGAAAAGGUUCUUUUCUUACCUUUGUCUUGCAUACAUAAAAAAUACUACCUUUUUUUCUUGACUCUCCAGAAUGGUUGAUGCUGUUUUUAAAAGCCUCCUUGUCCCCUUAGUUUUAUCUUUAAAGUCUUUCAAGCUAUUGGCAACUAUACCAAAUUUUCUAUUAACUGCUAAUAUAAUAAACUGUUUUGUAAUGCCUUUUUUUCAUAAAAAAAUAGAAAGAAGCUUGAUCUUUUUGGAAUUGAGGCAUUGAUUAAAUGUUCCUGAAGACAUUUAUGAUAUAGAUACCCAAAAGUAAUACUCAGAUUAAAAGCCACUCACCACUAAUGAAAUCUGGAUUGAAUGUUUAGUUUGUUUUAAAUUUAGAAUUAAUAUUAAUGUAGCUGCUGUUUCUCGCUAGAUAUUUUUAUAGUCAAUUCAAAUUACAUUUGUUUGGCUUUUUUCUCUUUUUAAAUUAGGGAAUAUCCCUCAAAUGGGCAUGUGCCAAGGUGAAUAUGACCAUGUUUGCAAAUAAUCAGGGCAGUUGUUUUUAAAUUAUUGCAUAAUAUGAUUUAGAAAAUUUCUUCAUCAGUACAAAAAUAUAUGCUUGGUCUAGAAAACAUUGUCAAAUUCAUUGUUGUUCUCAACUGUCAAAGAGUCUAAGUUCUACUGAAUUCUGCUGUGUAUGUCUUGAUCUAUACUUAGCAAAACCAGCUAAAACAGGAUAUACUAUUCUUCUUUCAUCUUACAUUUCUUUGAUUUCCAUAGAGGAAAAAUAAUUUUUAUAUGUUCUCUGAUAACUACCUUCUCUCAGCAAAAUAAUUUUUGUUAAGUUCUUUCCUGUUGCUCUAGCAGCCCCUGUUGCUUAGUGCUGCUCUCUGAUAUUCAGGUAUUCUGUUGUGCCAACCGUUUUUAGGAAGCAUUCCUUUGUAUGCUGUAAUUAGCAAAAAAUUUUCCCUUGGAACUUACAAUGGUCAUGUUAAAAGAAUAAACUGAGAUUCUAGUUGGUAAAUUAGCUUUGUGGAUAGGGUAUACAUGAAUACAUUUGGAGUUUGAUCACAAUAGCUUGAACUAAAACACAAAAAGUUUUUUUUUUUUUUUUUUUACAGUGGAAAGCUGAGGACAAAACUAGAGAAGCAGUAGUUGUGUAGUUAAGCCAACCCAGUUAAAUUUCACUUAUCUUGGGUGAUUGUAUGCCAUACAUACUAUAUGUCCAAUACUGCUAAACACUGAGGGUGUUCUGGAAGUACAGAUCUUCUGCCUCAAGGAAUUUAUAUUCUAGUUAGGAAGUUUAAGCACUUAGAGACAGCGAUAAAUUGAAUGCUAAUGCAUGUAAUAAAUAAGUACUGAGGAAUGUAGAAAAGAGAAAAACUCCACCUGAACUCUAAAAAUAAUACUGUCAAAAUGCUCAUUUUAUGCUUAGAAAAAUUGAGGCCCAAAACUGUUAAGGGACAUGGCCAGGAUCACACAGUUUUUUAGCUUCACAAAAGGAACUGGAAUCCAGAUCUCCUGGCUCAUUCCAGGCUUCUUUACACUAGAGACGUCUCCUAAUUUAAGCCUCAGUUAUUUCUUUGACAAUGAUUUCAAGUCAGUCCUUAACUCAGAUGCUUAUUUCCCGAAGGACGAAGUAAUAUUUUGACAUAAAAUUCCUAGAAACCCACUUAAUACAA